rnacentral:rRNA from 1 species
CCAUGGUAUUAGAGGUACUGCCUGCCCAGUGAUAACAUUCAACGGCCGCGGUAUUUUGACCGUGCAAAGGUAGCAUAAUCACUUGUCUUCUAAAUAAAGACUAGUAUGAACGGCAAAACGAAGGUUUAACUGUCUCCUUUGUCCACUCAAUGAAAUUGAUCUCCCAGUACAAAAGCUGUGAUUAAACAACAAGACGAGAAGACCCUAUGGAGCUUAAAACAUACUAGAAAGUACAACAACAUUUACUAAUCUAAUGUACUAAUUCCACAUUGUUUUGGUUGGGCGACCACGGAGAUACUAAUCCUCCGAGAUGACAUGCCAGGAAACACCCAAGAAUCAGAAACUGAACAUUGACCCAUUACUUGACAACGAACAGUACCCUAGGAAAAGCGCAUCUCUCAGAGCCUAUCACAGGAGUACGACUCAUGUGACAGAUACUGCGUGACCGCCUCAAGGUUGUUGUCAAAAUAAUCUACGGACCGAUCAACCGAGG